CCUACGGGAGGCAGCAGUGGGGAAUUUUGGACAAUGGGGGCAACCCUGAUCCAGCCAUUCCGCGUGAGUGAAGAAGGCCUUCGGGUUGUAAAGCUCUUUCGCAAGGGAAGAAAAGAUAUAGGUGAAUAGCUUAUGUUGAUGACGGUACCUUGACAAGAAGCACCGGCUAACUACGUGCCAGCAGCCGCGGUAAUACGUAGGGUGCAAGCGUUAAUCGGAAUUACUGGGCGUAAAGCGUGCGCAGGCUGUUUUGUAAGUCAGAUGUGAAAUCCCCGAGCUCAACUUGGGAACUGCGUUUGAAACUACAAGACUAGAAUAGGUCAGAGGGGGGUAGAAUUCCACGUGUAGCAGUGAAAUGCGUAGAGAUGUGGAGGAAUACCAAUGGCGAAGGCAGCCCCCUGGGAUCAUAUUGACGCUCAUGCACGAAAGCGUGGGGAGCGAACAGGAUUAGAUACCCCGGUAGUC
rnacentral:rRNA from 1 species